rnacentral:rRNA from 1 species
AACGAACGCUGGCGGCAUGCCUAACACAUGCAAGUCGAACGAGACCUUCGGGUCUAGUGGCGCACGGGUGCGUAACGCGUGGGAACCUGCCCUUAGGUUCGGAAUAACUCCCCGAAAGGGGUGCUAAUACCGGAUAAUGUCUUCGGACCAAAGAUUUAUCGCCUUUGGAUGGGCCCGCGUUGGUUUAGCUAGUUGGUAGGGUAAAAGCCUACCAAGGCGACGAUCCAUAGCUGGUCUGAGAGGAUGAUCAGCCACACUGGGACUGAGACACGGCCCAGACUCCUACGGGAGGCAGCAGUGGGGAAUAUUGGACAAUGGGCGAAAGCAUGAUCCAGCAAUGCCGCGUGAGUGAUGAAGGCCUUAGGGUUGUAAAGCUCUUUUACCCGGGAUGAUAAUGACAGUACCGGGAGAAUAAGCUCCGGCUAACUCCGUG